GACGGACGCUGGCGGCGUGCUUAACACAUGCAAGUCGAACGGAAAGGCCCUGCUUUUGUGGGGUGCUCGAGUGGCGAACGGGUGAGUAACACGUGAGUAACCUGCCCUUGACUUUGGGAUAACUUCAGGAAACUGGGGCUAAUACCGGCUAGGAGCUCCUGCUGCAUGGUGGGGGUUGGAAAGUUUCGGCGGUUGGGGAUGGACUCGCGGCUUAUCAGCUUGUUGGUGGGGUAGUGGCUUACCAAGGCUUUGACGGGUAGCCGGCCUGAGAGGGUGACCGGCCACAAUGGGACUGAGAGACGGCCCAGACUCCUACGGGAGGCAGCAGUGGGGAAUAUUGCACAAUGGGCGGAAGCCUGAUGCAGCAACGCCGCGUGCGGGAUGACGGCCUUCGGGUUGUAAACCGCUUUCGCCUGUGACGAAGCGUGAGUGACGGUAAUGGGUAAAGAAGCACCGGCUAACUACGUG
rnacentral:rRNA from 1 species